rnacentral:rRNA from 1 species
GACGAACGCUGGCGGCGUGCCUAAUACAUGCAAGUAGAACGCAGUUUCGAACGGGUGAGUAACGCGUAGGUAACUGCCUCAUAGCGGGGGAUAACUAUUGGAAACGAUAGCUAAUACCGCAUUCUGUUAGACGGACCUGCGUUGUAUUAGCGAGUUGUUGAGGUAAAGGCUCACCAAGGCGACGAUACAGUCCCGACCUGAGAGGGUGAUCGGCCAAACUGGGACUUGGACACGGCCCAGAAUCCUUCUGGAGGCAGCAGUAGGGAAUCUUCGGCAAUGGACGGAAGGCUGGACGAGCAAAGCCGGGGGAGAGAAGAAGGUUUUCGGAUCGUAAAGGUCUGUUGUGCGAGAAGCGGUAACUAAACAGGAAGGGACGGCUAACUCCGUGCCAGCAGCCGCGGUAAUUC